UGAAUACGAGAUGCUACGGCGUCGAAGCAGUCUAUGUCAUACUUCCAAGAAAAGCUUGCACUGUCAUAAACAAAUAAUGCCUGUACCAUAACCGACACAGGUGGGUAGGUAGAGUAUACUAAGGGGCGCGAGAUAACUCUCUCUAAGGAACUCGGCAAAAUGACUCCGUAACUUCGGGAGAAGGAGUGCCUUAUUUAUAAGGUUGCAAUAACAAGAUCCAAGCAACUGUUUACCAAAAACACAGGUCUCUGCUAAGUCGUAAGACGAUGUAUGGGGGCUGACGCCUGCCCAGUGCCAGAAGGUUAAAGAAGUUGGUUAGCAUCCGCGAAGCUGAUAACUGAAGCCCUGGUGAACGGCGGCCGUAACGAUAACGGUCCUAAGGUAGCGAAAUUCCUUGUCGGGUAAGUUCCGACCCGCACGAAAGGCGUAAUGGUUUGGAUACUGUCUCGGAGAGGGGCUCGGUGAAAUAGACUUGUCUGUGAAGAUGCGGACUACCUGCACCAGGACAGAAAGACCCUAUGAAGCUUUACUGUAACCUGAAAUUGAAAUCGGACUUUACUUGCGCAGUAUAGGUGGGAGGCGUUGAGAAUAUUCUUGCGGGAUUAUUGGAGCCAUCAGUGAGAUACCACUCUUGUAAUGUUAGAUUUCUAACUUUGUAUCAUUAUCUGGUCAAAGAACAGUUUCAGGCGGGCAGUUUGACUGGGGCGGUCGCUUCCUAAACGGUAACGGAGGCGCACAAAGGUUUCCUCUGAACGGGUAGAAAUCGUAUCUAGAGUGUAAAGGCAUAAGGAAGCUUGACUGUGAGACCUACAAGUCGAGCAGGGACGAAAGUCGGUCUUAGUGAUCUGACGGUGCUGAGUGGAAAGGCCGUCACUCAACGGAUAAAAGUUACUCUAAGGAUAACAGGCUGAUCUCCCCCAAGAGUUCACAUCGACGGGGAGGUUUGGCACCUCGAUGUCGGCUCAUCGCAUCCUGGGGCGGUAGUACGUCCCAAGGGUUGGGCUGUUCGCCCAUGAAAGCGGUACGCGAGCUGGGUUCAGAACGUCGUGAGACAGUUCGGUCCAUAUCCGGUGUAGGCGUUAGAAUAUUGAGAGGAGCCUUCUUUAGUACGAGAGGACCGAGAAGGACAUACCUCUGGUGUACCAGUUAUCGUGCCAACGGUAAACGCUGGGUAGCUAUGUGUGGAGUGGAUAACCGCUGAAAGCAUCUAAGUGGGAAGCCCACCUCAAGAUAAGUAUUCUCA
rnacentral:rRNA from 1 species